UGGGAUGAUCUGUUGGGAUGGCCACCGUUUCUACAGCAUACUGGAGAGAUGAGGUCUUGCCUGGUCUUGAAUCCUGGACUCAAGUGACCCUUUGCCUCUGUCUCCCAAUGUGAUGGAAUUACAGCCGUGAGCCACUGCACCCAGCCAACUGCUUCAUUCUUAAGGUUCCAGCUACUUCUCACCCUGGCUCAGAUCUAGUAACUGCUCUUUUGUCAAACUAAACCUUUUUCAGCUAAACGCUGUGGUCGGUGGGGUGGAUACCUCACUACAAACCUCACCCAGUGGAAUGUUAUUCUACUGAGGCAACUGUGAAAAAGAGAAACUGAUAUGCUAGUGACGCUCAGUUUAAUAGAUGGGAGAGAAGGAGUGGAAUAGGUAUAUGGCCUUUCUUUUUUUUCCAUUCUCUG
rnacentral:lncRNA from 1 species